AUGGGUAAAGUUUGUCUCUCCUCUCCUCUCCUCUCCUCUCCUCCCCUCUCCUCUCCUCUCCUCCUCUCUCCUCUCCUCUCCUCUCCUCUCCUCCCCUCUCAUCUCCUCUCCUCUCCUCUCCUCUCCUCCUCUCUCCUCUCCUCCCCUCUCCUCCCCUCUCCUCUCCUCUCCUCUCCUACCCUCUCUUCUCCCCUACCCUCGCUCCUCUCCUACCCUCGCUCCUCCUCUCUCCUCUCCUCUCCUCCUCUCUCCUCUCCUCUCCUCCCCUCUCCUCCCCUCUCCUCUCCUACCCUCUCUUCUCCCCUACCCUCUCUCCUCUCCUACCCUCGCUCCUCUCCUCCCCUCUCCCCUCCCCUCUCCUCUCCUCUCCUCCCCUCUCCUCUCCUCUCCUCUCCUACCCUCUCUUCUCCCCUCCCCUCUCUCCUCUCCUCCCCUCGCUCCUCUCCUCCCCUCCCCUCUCCUCUCCUCUCUUCUCCUCUCCUCUCCCCUCUCCCCUCUCUUCUCCUCUCCUCUCCCCUCUCCCCUCUCCUCUCCUCUCCUCUCCUACCCUCUCUUCUCCCCUACCCUCGCUCCUCUCCUCUCCUCCCCCUCCCCUCCCCUCUCCUCCCCUCCCCUCUCCUCCCCUCCCCUCUCCCCUCCUCCCUUCUCCUCUCCUCUCCCCUCUCUCCUCUCCUCCCCUCUCCUCCCCUCUCCUCUCCUCCUCUAAUCUCGCCUCUAAUCUCUCCUCUCCUCUCCUCUGUUGGACAUGCAUUAGCAGCACACAAAAGAUUCUGCAGUCCAUGUGUUUUCUGGUUCUUGUGUGUCGCUGCUUCCUCCCGCAGUAUCCUCUCUCCUCUCCUCCCCCUCUCUCCUCUCCUCUCCUCUGUUGGCCAUGCAUUAGCAGCACACAAAAGAGUCUGCAGUCCAUGUGUUUUCUGGUUCUUGUGUGUCGCUGCUUCCUCCCGCAGUAUCCUCUCUCCUCUCCUCCCCCUCUCCUCUCCUCUCCCCUCGCCUCUCCUCUCCUCUCCUCUCCCCUCCCCCCUCUCCUCUCCUCCCCUCUCUUCUCCCCUCCCCUCCCCCCCCUCCUCCCCUCCCCCCCCCUCCCCUCUCUCCCCUCCUCCCCUCCCCUCUCCUCCCCUCUCUUCUCCCCUCCCCUCGCUCCCCUCCCCUCCUCCCCCCCCCCUCCCUCCCCCCCCCCCCCCUCCCCUCCCCUCCCCUCUCCUCUCCUCUCCACUUUUCUCCACUCUUCUCUUAUCCUCUCUCCUCUCCUCCCCCUCUCCUCUCCUCUCCUCCUCUCAUCUCUCCUCUAAUCUCUCCUCUCCUCCCCCCCUCCUCUCUCCUCUCCUCCUCUCUCCUCUCCUCCUCCCCUCCUCCCCUCUCCUCUCCUCUCCUCCUCUAAUCUCGCCUCUAAUCUCUCCUCUCCUCUCCUCUGUUGGACAUGCAUUAGCAGCACACAAAAGAGUCUGCAGUCCAUGUGUUUUCUGGUUCUUGUGUGUCGCUGCUUCCUCCCGCAAUAUCCUCUCUCCCCUCCCCUCUCCUCUCCCCCCUCCCCUCCCCCCCCUCCCCUCCAUUCCUCCCCUCCCCUCUCCUCUCCCCUCCUCCUCUAAUCUCUCCUCUACUCUCUCCUCUCCUCUCCUCCUCUAA
ensembl:lncRNA